GACAGAGGGUGCAAACGUUGUUCGGAAUUACUGGGCGUAAAGCGCGUGUAGGCGGCCAUCUAAGUCGGGCGUGAAAUCCCACGGCUCAACCGUGGAAGUGCACUCGAAACUGGAUGGCUAGAGUCCUGGAGAGGAAGGUGGAAUGCUUGGUGUAGAGGUGAAAUUCGUAGAUAUUCGGAAGAACACCAGUGGCGAAGGCGACUUACUGGACACAUAUUGACGCUGAGGUGCGAAAGCGUGGGGAGCAAACAGG
rnacentral:rRNA from 1 species